GACGAACGCUGGCGGCGGGCUUAACACAUGCAAGUCGAACGGAAAGGCCCUGCUUGUGUGGGGUGCUCGAGUGGCGAACGGGUGAGUAACACGUGAGUAACCUGCCCUUGACUUUGGGAUAACUUCAGGAAACUGGGGCUAAUACCGGAUAGGAGCUCCUGCUGCAGGGUGGGGGUUGGAAAGUUUGGGCGGUUGGGGAUGGACGGGCGGCUUAUCAGCUUGUUGGUGGGGUAGUGGCUUACCAAGGGAUUGACGGGUCGCCGGCCUGAGAGGGUGACCGGCCACAUUGGGACUGAGAUACGGCGCAGAGUCCUACGGGAGGCAGCAGUGGGGAAUAUGGCACAAUGGGCGGAAGCCUGAUGCAGCAGCGCCGCGUGCGGGAUGACGGCCUUCGGGUUGUAAACCGCUUUCGCCUGUGACGAAGCGUGAGUGACGGUAAUGGGUAAAGAAGCACCGGCUAACUACGUG
rnacentral:rRNA from 1 species